rnacentral:ncRNA from 1 species
AUAGUUUACUAGGGGUGCCCAAAGUUGCGGGCUGAGAGAGGAGCGCUGAAUGCUUCUUAACCCUUUGGACCUGAUCUGGUUCGUACCAGCGUGGGGAAGUAAGGGAUUAUGAAG